rnacentral:rRNA from 1 species
UAACACAUGCAAGUCGAACGGCAACACGAACUUCCUUGCUUCUUUGCUNACGAGUGGGGGACGGGUGACUAAUGNCUGGGAAACUGCCUGAUGGAUGGGGAUAACUACUGGAAACUGUAGCUAAUACCGAUCAACGUCNCAAGACCAGAGAGGGGGACCUUCUGGCCUCUUGCCAUCGGAUGUGCCCAAAUGGGAUUAUGUUGGGAGUGGGGUAACGGCUCACCAAGAUNACNAUCCCUACCUGGACUGAGAGGAUGACCACCCACACUGAAACUGAGACCCGACCCCUACUCCUACCGGAGGCGGGAAAGGGGAAUAUUGGACAAUGGGCGCGAGCCUGAUGCACCCCUGGCGCGAGGAUGAACAACGCCUUCNGGUUGUAUUUUACUUUCAACGAGGAGGAAGGGAGUAAAGNUNAUACCUUUNNUCAUUGACGUUACACGAANAANAAGCACC